AUUGAAGUGGGCUGUGUUUGAGGCCGGUGUAAGAACGCUCAUUCUACCCCCAACCCUUGUCUCCAAGGACCUCGGUUUGUGCGUGCAUAUGUGCCGGGUACCCGGUGGGGCGGGUGCCCAGUAAGUGCUCGGACUCGCAGGGGAAGCGCCCACGGGGACGGAUUGGUUGUUUUUUCCUGUAUGAAGCGGUUGGCACCACUGAAGUGACCGAAUGAGAGACUCUACAGGGGCAGGUAAUUCACUGGUCCACAAGCGGUCUCCUUUACGUCGAAACCAAAAGACCCCAACAUCCUUGACCAAGCUGUCUUUACAGGAUGGACAUAAAGCCAAAAAGCCAGCAUGUAAAUUUGAAGAGGGUCAGGAUGUCCUAGCUAGAUGGUCAGAUGGCUUGUUUUAUCUUGGCACUAUCAAAAAGAUAAACAUAUUGAAACAGAGCUGCUUCAUCAUAUUUGAAGACAGUUCUAAAUCCUGGGUUCUCUGGAAGGACAUUCAAACAGGAGCCACUGGAAGUGGGGAAAUGGUCUGUACAAUAUGUCAAGAAGAGUAUUCAGAAGCUCCCAAUGAAAUGGUUAUAUGUGACAAGUGUGGCCAAGGAUAUCAUCAGUUGUGUCACACACCUCAUAUUGAUUCCAGUGUGAUUGAUUCAGAUGAAAAAUGGCUCUGUCGGCAGUGUGUUUUUGCAACAACAACAAAGAGGGGUGGUGCACUUAAGAAAGGACCAAAUGCCAAAGCAUUGCAAGUCAUGAAGCAGACAUUACCCUAUAGUGUGGCAGACCUUGAAUGGGAUGCAGGUCAUAAAACCAAUGUCCAGCAGUGUUACUGCUAUUGUGGAGGCCCUGGAGAACAGGUUCUUGCUCUGUUGCCUCGGCUGGAGUGCAGUGGCAUGGUUAUAGCUCACUCCAGCAUUGAACUGGGCUCAAGCAAUCCUCCCAUCUCAGCCUCCUGAGUAGGUAGGACCACAGGCAUGCGCCACCACACCCUGCUAGUUUUUUAAGUUUUUUUGUGGAAAUGGAGUCUUGCUAUUUGUCCACGUUGGUCUCCAACUCUUGGCCUCAAGUGAUUCUCCUGCUUUGGCCUCCCAAAGUGCUGGAAAUACAAGCAUGAUCACCACGCCUGGCCCCCACUCUGGUAUUUGAAGAUGCUACAGUGCUGCAAAUGUAAGCAGUGGUUUCAUGAGGCUUGUGUGCAAUGCCUUCAAAAGCCAAUGCUAUUUGGAGACAGAUUUUAUACGUUUAUAUGCUCUGUCUGCAGUUCUGGACCAGAAUACCUCAAACGUCUACCAUUACAGUGGGUAGAUAUAGCACACCUAUGCCUUUACAACCUAAGUGUUAUUCAUAAGAAGAAAUACUUUGAUUCUGAACUUGAGCUUAUGACAUACAUUAAUGAAAACUGGGAUAGAUUGCACCCUGGAGAGCUGGCAGACACACCAAAAUCUGAAAGAUAUGAGCAUGUUCUGGAGGCAUUAAAUGAUUACAAGACCAUGGAAGUAAGCAAUGGCAUAG
rnacentral:lncRNA from 1 species